rfam:Ovis aries breed Texel chromosome 5, whole genome shotgun sequence.
UCCCUGGUGGCUCAGUGGUAAAGAAUCUGCCUGCCAAUGCAGGAGACACGAGUUAGAUCCUUGAUCGGGGAA